UGAGUAACCUGCCCUUAACUCUGGGAUAAGCCUGGGAAACUGGGUCUAAUACCGGAUAUGACUCCUCAUCGCAUGGUGGGGGGGUGGAAAGCUUUAUUGUGGUUUUGGAUGGACUCGCGGCCUAUCAGCUUGUUGGUGAGGUAAUGGCUUACCAAGGCGACGACGGGUAGCCGGCCUGAGAGGGUGACCGGCCACACUGGGACUGAGACACGGCCCAGACUCCUACGGGAGGCAG
rnacentral:rRNA from 1 species